UUAGGAAUCUUCCACAAUGGGCGAAAGCCUGAUGGAGCGACACUGCGUGAGGGAUGACGGCCUUCGGGUUGUAAACCUCUAAAACGGGGACGAAUAAUGACGGUACCCGUUGAGAAGCACCGGCUAACUCCGUGCCAGCAGCCGCGGUAAUACGGAGGGUGCAAGCGUUAUCCGGAAUCACUGGGCGUAAAGGGCGCGUAGGCGGUCCUGUAAGUCCGAUGUUAAAGACCGGGGCUCAACCCCGACACGGCGUUGGAUACUGCUGGGCUUGACGGCUGGAGAGGCGAGUGGAAUUACCAGUGUAGCGGUGGAAUGCGUAGAUACUGGUAGGAACACCCAUUGCGAAGGCAGCUCGCUGGACAGCACGUGACGCUGAGGCGCGAAAGUGUGGGGAGCAAACCGGAUUAGAUACCCGGGUAGUCCACACCCUAAACGAUGCACACUUGGUGUUGGCCCGUUGGGGUCAGCGCCGGAGCUAACGCGUUAAGUGUGCCGCCUGGGAAGUACGGCCGCAAGGUUG
rnacentral:rRNA from 1 species